UCGGGAAUUCUCUCUCGCUGAUGCACAGCUCUCUCAUAGGGUAGCAUCUUGUAAACUCUCCCGUUGAUACACUGAGCCGAGUACUAACGUAAAGGAAAUAACUGCUAAAACCAUCACUCGGGAUAUCUUGUUCAAAUUGUGGACGUUCCUGAAAUUGACAUUUAAGGUUUACGGUCGCUGCGGACGUCAAGAUGCGAUCUCAUCUUGUGGCUGUUGUAGUGGCACUGUUGGUGAUUGUCACAUUAUCACACUAUACCAACGCACUGCCAGAUAAAGUAGAUUUAAGCGGGUUAUCAGCCAUGCAGAUACGACGAUUCCUUGGGUUAUGUGAUUGGUGUUCAGCGUUUGGACCAAAGGUUGCUAGUAGGUGCCGAGGAAGAGAUUUCCUCACCUUUAGACUGUGCGCCCUUGCCAAGGGAGAGGAAUACACGGAUUACGGCGUAAACAUGAAACGAGAUUUCUGAGAUCCGGAUGCGCAAAUGAUUUACUUACGUUACUCGCAGGAUUUGACUACGUUACGUACAUAAGCAUAAUGAUGUCUGGUUAUGCUAGGGCCGUCCCUCCUUCAUAUACAAGAUAAGCUGCUACGCUACGCUGAUAUAAUGUGGAUUUCGACUGUUAAUUAAGGUAUACCACUCGCCUCGCUAGACUAGGGCUGCGAUGACUCUCAACUGCUAAAUGAGCAACCAAGUCAACAACGGGCAGCACUGCAACUCUGUCGCCUGGAUGAUCAACAAAAUAAACAAUAAUACGCACGGCCUGAAGAAAAAAGAUUGUCACUAUGUUCCAAGCGCGUACCAUGCAGAUAACGCGAACAAAGUUAAAAGUUAAUCCUUUUGUUGAGCAAAACCUUGCGUUCUGAUGCGUUCAUUGCAAAAAAUGCCUCUUUAUUUGUUGAUAUCGCACGCCGUUAUGGGGUUAUUUGAAAAAUCCCUGAGCAGGGAAAAAUAAUGUUAACAUCAAAUAUCAAGGUCAACAUUAGGGAUUUUCAUUGUGAUCUCUUGUCUAGCUCACCUGGGGCUUUACAUUUCAUCGUUUUGCUUGUCGAAUAUUUCAAACCGGCCUCCUUAAGAAUUAUGACAACAUGACCUUUCAAUCUGGGCCAUUUCUGAAAAUCUAACUGAGGAGCACAAUUAUCAAAUUCAGAUUAGACCUCAUCACAUAACACAAUUAAGGUCAUAGAGGUCAAGCGCAAAGUUUUCUCAGAAUGCAGAACAUUUAUCAGUAUCAUCUAGCGUUUGUAAACAAAAUGUUGAGAAAACGUCAGGUCGAGACGAAAUAUAGUCAUCGGAAACAAUUCAUAAAAGAAGAAUUUAAAACCAGUUCGUAGAAAGAUGACUCGGCGUUAAAAUUUCGUGCUACUGAAUUAUUCCCAACGUUAACUGUCUAAACAUUCCAGAUUUUCUGACUGUAUUGACCCUAUUUCAAUGACGAAGAAACCGAUGUUAUUGCUAAUCUUGCUUAUUUUUGAAUUCUAAGUCUAUGCAGAAUUUGCAUUUGGCAGUGUCCUUUGAUAAAUACACCGUAAAUAUACUCUAUUCUUCUUUUUACCUGUCCCAUUACCGAACCCAUGAAUAUUAUUUCUAAGCCCAAUGUUGAAGAAAAUGGGGUGAAGAUGGUCAAAUAUUAAUGUCCUGGUUGAGAACAGUCAGUGUCCAUGCACUGAGAUGACCAUCAUAGUGUCCUAAACUCUAGAGGUAAUUGGUAUGUAACCGGGCAAAAGCGUGACAAAAGCUCCCGUUAGGGCAACAGGGUUUUGGCUUUCACAGUUUGAACAGUGACAAUAAUACAGAGUGAUGCAACCGAAUUGUCUGGCCAAAUGUUAUGCUGUUAAGUUGACCUGAUAGUUGGGUAAUGGGCAGGAUUUGAACGAAUGAAUGGAUUAAACUAAUGAACGUUACUAAAAAGGUUUAUUGUUGAAUCAUUCAUCAUCAUCAUCAUUAAAACAUCACCUCAUUGUCAUCAUCAUCCUCUAUCAGCUCGUCUUUGCUGGAGGCGGGAUCACUGGGCCCUCAUUCCCGUCAGGAAGAAGCCCACUCAGCCUCCAUCCACUGUGGAUCACCCGUUCGGCCACUAUUUCCCAACCGAGACUGAUUAUAUGAACUACUUCCUGGCGGGAAAUCGGAUCACAGUGUCCUUCCCAUGAGCAUGCCCAAUUUUCCAUGCUUUCCGUAAGGACCUGAGGUGGCUCUUAACACUGCGGUUUAGUUAAGUCUAAAGGCUGGAGAAGGGUUUUUCCAGGGAUUUUCCAGGGAUGAAGAAGUCCUGUCCAUUCGCUCGUGGGAUCCUUUACGGAACAGGUGAUGCCGAUGGGCCGGGUAUUGAUUUAAGAUGAGGAGGAAGUUGGUUUUCUACCUCUGGCCAAAACACUGAAAAAAGACAGAAAGAAAAUAAAAGGUUGUUUUUGGUGAUUGACUAUCAAAUCGCAUCAGAAUGAGUGGUUCCCUUUAAGCGAGGCGCACACAGAGAAAUACAGCUGAGACGGGUAUCUCAUUUCUGCGUUUUCGGCGCAGCCGUAUUCAGACACAACAUGUUCCUGUGUGCGCAUGCUUAGCCUACGCUUCGCCUCCUGGUAUGACAUGAUCGCUUCGGCUGUCUGAAGCAAAGUGACGUUGCUUUUUCUCUGGUGCGUUCUUAAGGAUUAACUACAGACACCUCGGUCGAAAUUGUUCAAACAAAAAUCUCGAAGAUACCACUGACUAUAACAUCUUUUAUUUCAAUUAAGAGCAACCAUUUUCCAGUCAAUUCCUUACAAAAAAAUGAUUUACUUCGAUCAUAAUGGCCAUGCUGCCGAAUUCUGCGUCGUAAUCUCUCAUCGUGUGUGCAUCGAUCACGCCUUUCUGCCAUUUCCUCGUAUUCAUCUGCCCAUCCAGAGAAAGUCCGUGAGUGGAUACGAAAAUGGUUCGCAAAUGAACGCAUAGACCGGGCAUGGUCGAUGCCCAUCGCAUGGUGCACCCUGAAGGUGCGAACGUAGUCCAACCGCUGAUUUAAGCUGUAACCGUGAAGAUGCCUCUUUUCAUGUCCUACCUGCUCAUCGUCACUAUCACAAUCAUUGUCCAUCGAAAUCACCACACGAAUCCAAAAUGCAAAGCAAAAAGUAAUGCAAAGUAACCUCAUCAUGACAAUUCAAACCACAAACAACAACCUAUACCCCCUAUGCCUAAGCCUACUGCAACACAAGGCUUGACAUGUAUUGCAUUGUUCUAUGUAACUUAGGCCCUACUAUGACUUGCUCUCCCCCAUCAAAAUAGGCCUACGUCGAACUUUGUCAUUAUUUUGCCGUGUUCGGUAGUGGGACAGGUAAUUUGAAGAAUAGAGUAUGUUUUGAUAUCAAUGAUAACGACUUAAAGGACCAGUGGCAUUAUUGCAGUAUGUUUGUUCUUCUUCUGGUUCAUCAGUAAACUAUUUUUCUGAACGUGUUUGAGGCUUUUUACCGAUUUUGUUUUUUAGCUCUCAGAUAGUAUAAAAACGCAUUAUUCGUUAUUUUCCGUACGCGCAAGUCCUGGCGCGAAAUACCUUUCCCGCCACGUGAGUGCACGUCGAGAUCCGAGUUCACGUCAUACCGCUAUGACGCAGCGUGGAAAGAGUCGAUGCGUGGAGAUAACUCGGAUCAACAUGAAGUCAAAAUCGGAAAAACGCGAUUACUCAGCCAGAUUUAUAAUUUUUUCCUUUUUUUGAUGGAAUUUAUUGAUGGAAACUAAUUAUGUAGAAUAGGAGAGGUGACUGGGCAGCCGACAGCUGGGUAAUAUUGCCCUUAAUAAUGCGAUUGUUCCGUUAAUAUCAUGAUGAUAAACAUCCCGAGUCGAAUAUCCCGAUACGACUAAGAACCUGGUAGUACAAUAAUGUUGUUUACUGUGUAAUUCAUCACGAUAACUAUUUAAGAUUAUAAUUUAUGUGAACAUUAUCAUUUGAUUUGAUGAUGUCUUUAUGAUAUUCUCUAGAUCACUGGGACAUAAAUUUACAAUUGCCCCCUCACUUGCCCGUUUAUUGUGCGAAACUUUUAUGUCUGUGUGACGCCGUAUUAACUUUCUGAUAGGCCGAAAACGUAAAAUCGUACGUUGGUCAUAUCCUCGCCAUCCUCAUUCUCAUCCUCAUAGCCAUCGCCAUCACCACGACCACCACAUGCACAUCAACAGAGCGGUAUCAGAGUUCCGUGUUGAAUACCGCGAGUUUUGGCGACAUUUUGUAUCCAAGUCAGGGUGCACCAGAGGAAGGUCAUUCGUUUUUAUAGCUUUAUUUAGGAUGAUGACAUGGGUUGAAGGAAAUUUCUGAUGGCUGCAUCUAAAACCAAUUCCCCUACCAUCCCAGUGGUGUCUAAGAGAAUAUUUUCGAAUCGAUUCUAUCAUCCAUUUUGUUUGCACAGAAUGCUUCCCGAAUGUAUUCUUUCCCUUCAGAUUUAGUUUUUACCUCUAGACGAGCAGCACUACAGGUUGGCUCAUCGUAGGGGAGUCUUUUCAAUACUAAGUGUCUGGCGUCCUUUGCCGUCGUUGUCGUCCGCCGUGGUCCGUAUCCUAUUUAAAAAAAAAGUGGCACGUUUCUUAACUGCUCGGAUUAUGAACUUGAAACUUUAUGCACAGGACCCCCACCCAGGUCCGGUGACCUCCGACGCUGAAUUUCUGUCCGAUUUGAUUCUCGACUUGGCCACCAGGGGGUCAAAAGUGAAAACCUAAAAAGUGUGAUUUUUUUUCCAAGUGACUUGUUUUCGAAAAAUAUUUAUGGAAGGUAGGUCUACUCCUGGCUAGGAUACAUCACAUAUCAUACGAAUUUUUUAUUCGACCGGCAUGUACUUUUCAUGGCCACAUAGGUCAAAUGGCGUAAAUUGGCCGUUUGAGUGUAAUUAUGAUAUGUUUCUUAAACGCUAAAGCGAUGAACUUUAAAUUUGGUACACAUGACUCCCUACGUCAGAUAACCUCCAACACCGAAUUUCGAUCCGAUCUGACUCUCGUCUUUGGCACCCGGGGGCCAAGACUGACAUGUUAAAAAGUGUAGUAACUCGCUUAUCGGUCCUUAUUUUAAAGAUAAUUUCACGGCGCAGAGAAUAGCAGCAAUUUAAGGGCUUGGCCUGGCCUGUUACCAGAUAGACCUCCGGAUCCUGAUAUAAAUUUUUGGAAGGGGUCGAUUCUAUGCCUUUUUUCUUUCGAACAUUCAUGAUUCCGCAUUUUAUAAGGCCCCAACCAUUUUAUUCUCGCUUUGUAUUAACAUAGAAGUCCUGGAAGAUUUCGAAACAAGUUUUGAGGGUGUCUGCACUGGGGUGUGAGCCAAAUCACUGAUCCUUGAAAGAAGAUUAAAUAUUUCUGACGCGUUUGAGAACGAGCAAAAAUGCGCCGCAAUGCGCCUUUCUCUGGACAAUGUGCCAAAACGCGCGCUUUUGAAUUAAUUGUGCCAUUUUCAGGGCUAAAAGCGUUUGUGCAAUGUUGUGAAAUAUCGAAUUUAAAAAGUGCCUCGAUACCUUAAGCUCGCGAGAUGGAAGGUGUUAAUUUGACAAUAGUUCAAAUGACUUCAGUAUAAAUUUUCACUUCACUGACGGAAUCACGGUAUAAUUACUUCAAAGUGUUGUGUUGUAAGUUGAAACCCGCUUUUGACCGCUUAAAUGCCAAAUUUCACAGCACAGUUUUUUUCCUCCAAAUAUUGUUGGCAUAUCAUGUCACGGCGUUGCAAGUCCCCACGACUUAGAUUAGGUGAAGGUAUCAAUUAGAAGUUGAGAGUCUCUCCUUUCCGAUGAAUCGAUAUACAUUCCAAAUCACAAAUGGCAUCCAUCCAUCUUCUCGUCAUUGACGCGCAACGUUCAUGUAUGUGCGAGUUCCGCGCCGAUUUGCACGUCAAUUACGCACCAGUGAACUGCUUAGUAAAUAACGCACGACUUACGUGCGACCUACCCACUGGGUAGCUCGUCAAUGACGCGAAUUUAGGGAUGACAAUUGUGAUUUGGACUGUGAUGUCAUUCAUUCUCAUGUUAGAUCAAACUGAGUUCUGAUUACUUGUCUGUUCCUAUGAAUUCUGUCGACCAGGUGUUAAGACCUACUUUUUUUGACAAUGAGAACAAAAUGAGACUUGUUCAUGACGACCCAGUCCAUUUGGAUUAUCGCCCAUAAUGAUUUGUCCAUAAACAGCUGAGGGAACAGGUUAUGUUGAUUUCUGUAGUAUAUUGCUUCGCGAUGUGACGUGAGAAUAGCAUUACCCUGGUCAUCACUGUACUACUCAGUGAUUAAGAUUGUUUGCUGAUGUGUAUUUUUGAGGAAUAAAACCUUUUUUAACCAA